GGGAGAGCCCCGUCCUGGCUCAGUACUGGGGCUUCGUGGACGCGCUGUAGCGGGUCUUCGCCGUCGUGGGUAGGAAACAGUCGGGCCGGAUCCCCGGUGUCUGGGGAGCGGCUGCCGGCCGGGCCCGCGCGAGCCGCUUCACUCCUACAAGCCCGGCUCACUAGUUCCAAGCUGCUGGACUUUGACCCUCGCUGGGAAGCUUGAUCGCCGCCUGUUCUCGCCAAUCUCUAUGCCUUUGCACUGCCCAGCAACCCGGUCACUGCCCAGGACCUGUUAAAAGUUGAAUGGACCUCCCAGAAUCACGCCGCUGCCACCGCCGUUUCUAGAGACGGCUUUUGGCCACCUUUGAGAAUCAGGGUCAAACUUGGAAGGGCCUGCAUUUGUCACACUUCCUCGGACACUAAUUUGGAUAGUUCAGGCCCAGAGACGGCUUCCCGGGUUAGUGUGCCUGACAACACUGAAGAAAAAUUGUGACAUUUUCCUUCCCCAGAAUUACUUCGUUUUAUACAUUUCACUUCUCUUCUGAAAUCACAGCAAUGCCAGUUUGCGCCUUUUGGUCUGAGGAACGCAGGCCCUGGCCACUACCAGGAAAAAGUAUUUACUUUUAAAACUUGAAUGUAUAUCUUUACCGUAUGCCUAGUACAGUAGUGCUUGGAAGAAACAGAUUAGUAAGACAAAAUAUAUGUCUUCAAGAACACUUACGUUCUGAGAAAGAAUUCUGAAUGCAGAUUCUAAUGUCUGAACCUUCUGGAUUUCAGCUUUGGCAAGCUUCCUCUGUUUCUGAGACACCUCCAUCACCUGGGUUACAAUCCCAUCCAUGAUUUUCCCCAUCUCCAGGCAUUUUUCAUGGAAAGCUCCUCAUGCUUUUUAAUUCCAGUUUAUCCAUUUGUGUGGCUUUAACCUCCACAUCCAGGUCUUUCUGGCUAAACUGCAGUAUAUCCACAAUGGGGCCAAUGGACACAUAAGGGAGGCCCUAUCACAGGAACACGAACACCCGGAGUCGCUAGAAAUCAGAUUCCACCGGCUUUGCUUCAGGCCGACUUCCUAAGGAAGGCAUGGUAGCAUCACAGAUGCUGUUUGUCUCAGUUUCCUGAGAAGCCAGUUUCUUAGAGCUGUCAUUCAAGAGUGGGUCAAAUUUGAGAUAUAAAAACCUUUCUCAAGGUAGACUCUUUGGCCCCUAUGCCUAGUAUGUCAGCUGGGCCUCUGAAGCUCUCCUCUUUGAGGUCCUGGCAGGCUCUGGCCCCUGUUGAGAAGGGGAAGCAGUCAUGUGAACUCAUGUGCUGGAAGAAUCCACUCUACCCCUUCCCUGGCUUCUCUGCUGCAAUUUUUGUCUUUAAACGUAUUUUCAGGUGAUUCCAGUUUGCAUACAUAAUUGAGAAAUAUAAGAUUUGGUCCCCAGUAGAGAGCCAGGUGAACUUAAGAAGGAGUCCAUCUAAGAAAAUUGCACAAUUAUCUAGUUUCACUUGGGUUUAGCUUUUAUGGCUUACUUGAUUUAGUAAUCAAAUGAUUUUCAAAUGAUUUUGAUCAGGUGACUCUUCGUAAACUAGAGAAUGAACUUGAGAGCCGAAUUAGCACAGUUUAAAAAUAAUCAUUUAGUUUUUGUUCUCUAUUGUGUAAAUUAUUGAGGUUUGACUGUCUUGGCUAAACUAAGGCUCAUCUAAUAUCUUUAUUUUUGAUAUCCUAAUUUCUUGCCAAUUAAUUGAAGGUAACAUACUAGCAGACCAGAUAACUACUUAUGCAAACCUCAGAUAACCACUAAUUUAAACAAAAUUAAA
ensembl:lncRNA LINC00667 long intergenic non-protein coding RNA 667